CCCUUAGAUGUUCUGGGCCGCACGCGUGCUACACUGAUGCAUUCAACGAGUCUAAAACCUGGUCUGAUAGGGCUGGGUAAUCUUUUGAAAGUGCAUCGUGAUUGGGAUAGAUGAUUGCAAUUCUUCAUCUUCAACGAGGAAUGCCUAGUAAACGCAAGUCAUCAGCUUGCAUUGAUUACGUCCCUGCCCUUUGUACACACCGCCCGUCGCUACUACCGAUUGAAUGGUUUAGUGAGAUCUUCGGAUUGGCGCCACUGCGGCUCAGCAAUGGGCUCGGUGGAUGCCGAAAAGUUGAUCAAACUUGAUCAUUUAGAGGAAGUAAAAGUCGUAACA
rnacentral:rRNA from 1 species